rnacentral:rRNA from 1 species
AGAGUUUGAUCCUGGCUCAGAACGAACGCUGGCGGCAGGCUUAACACAUGCAAGUCGAACGCUCGUAGCAAUACGGGAGUGGCAGACGGGUGAGUAACGCGUGGGAACAUACCCUCCGGUUCGGAAUAGCUCAGGGAAACUUGGAUUAAUACCGGAUACGGCUGAGAGGCGAAAGAUUUAUCGCCGGAGGAUUGGCCCGCGUUCGAUUAGCUUGUUGGUGAGGUAACGGCUCACCAAGGCGAUGAUCGAUAGCUGGUCUGAGAGGAUGAUCAGCCACAUUGGGACUGAGACACGGCCCAAACUCCUACGGGAGGCAGCAGUGGGGAAUAUUGGACAAUGGGCGCAAGCCUGAUCCAGCCAUGCCGCGUGAGUGAUGACGGCCUUAGGGUUGUAAAGCUCUUUCGCUCGGGACGAUAAUGACGGUACCGAGAUAAGAAGCCCCGGCUAACUUCGUGCCAGCAGCCGCGGUAAUACGAAGGGGGCUAGCGUUGUUCGGAAUUACUGGGCGUAAAGCGCGUGUAGGCGGGUCUUUAAGUCAGGGGUGAAAUGCCAAGGCUCAACCUUGGAACUGCCUUUGAUACUGAAGAUCUUGAGUCCGGGAGAGGUGAGUGGAAUUGCGAGUGUAGAGGUGAAAUUCGUAGAUAUUCGCAAGAACACCAGCGGCGAAGGCGGCUCACUGGCCCGGAACUGACGCUGAGACGCGAAAGCGUGGGGAGCAAACAGGAUUAGAUACCCUGGUAGUCC